GUAGGCUCCUUUUCAAAGCCUGAUCUUGUCAGAUCUCACAAGCUAAGCAAGGCUGGGCCUGGUUAGAACUUUAAUGGGAGACCACUGGGAAUACCAGGCAUCAUACU
rnacentral:rRNA from 1 species